CGGUGACCCAGGUGUUUCGGCUCCUGACAUCUUUUGGCUCUACUGUUUCCUAGUCACCUCAGAGAUGGCUGUUUCUUUCCCUGCACCCGGACAGCUGAGGAGCAGAAAGGGAGCUGGAAGAGGCACCCCGGCCGUUUAAUGUUUUGGAAUGGAAGAAAUCCAUUUCACUUUCAUUCACACUUCAUUCCAUUUAGAACUCGAUCACAUGGAUCCCUCUAGUGACACAGGAGACUAAAAAAGAUAGUGUUUUUUUUGGUGUUGUUCCCAGGAAGAAGAGAACCAAUCCUAGAGAAAAUGAGUGGUGUCUGUCACAAGUUCCUAAACUUUAUAACCUUUAAUUCAGUGCUCUGCAAAAUAAGUGCUCUAAAGUAUUUGUUGAAUGAAUGGUCUACUCCAGUGUUCUGUAAUUGAUCAUGGUAAGGAUUUUAUAGUGUAAAUUUCGUGGAGGAUUCAGACAUCCAAAAUUCAUUAGUGAUCCAAGGAAUGUUCUCAACCAAGGACUUGCUUUUGGGAAGUAUUAAACUCAUUUGAGACAUCCUAAGAAGAAGAGAUUUCAACAUAAUUACAUAUAUGGACAAUAUAUAUGGACAAAGAUCUAAUUCUGUAGACAUCCUUCUGCUCCAGUCAUCUCAGCCCUCAGGCGUAAAACCUCCACUGAUGUCAUUGGCAACCCUGUGCCCACGCUCAGCCCAUCUUCGACUGCCCCUCUCAGAAUGCAUCUCAUCUCUGCAGCCAGAAAAAUUCCAGUGAGAAGGCAGCCCAGGCCAUGGAAGACACCAUAGUGAAUAAUUUGGUUUGCACACCUAUUUAAUAAUUUUUUAAGGCAGCUAGAAAUUUUCAAAAAUCACACAAUUGUGAGUUAUUUUGAAAUCUCCUGUGAUUGGAAUUCAUUUGCAGUAUAGUCCUUGUUGCUCUUCAGACCACCUUUUUUUUUCCAUUUAAUGUUUUAAUAUGGACUUCCUUGCUUUGGAAUUAGAAGUGGAGAAAUUAGAAGUAGAGAAAUCCAAGAUUUUUUCCCUCCAGGUCAACUCUUAAAUAUCUUAAAAUUGUUCCUUUCCUUUGGUUAAAAAUAUUCUCUAUUCAUUCUAUGAAGGAUAACUGUUAAAGAAUUAGAGGAAAGAAAGCAAAUUCAAAAUAAGGUAAAAUAUGAAAAAAAAUAUAUGGGCAUAGAUGUUGUUAUGAUGUAAUAUAGAAACAGUAGAUGUAACAGGUUAUUGAAAAAAAUACCUGUCAUUUGGUGCUUUAAAAGCAGGUUCUAUGAAGUAAAUUCUUUUUUUUGUACAACAGAUACUGUGGUAAAUUUUGACAAGAAAUAUUCUCAUGGAUGUGACAGGGAAUAUUAAUUGUGUGGCCAUUAUCACCAUGAUCCCUGAAAAAUAAAAGCAGUAUAUAAUGCAUAAAGA